CCCUACGGGACGCAGCAGUAGGGAAUUUUCGUCAAUGGGCGCAAGCCUGAACGAGCGAUGCCGCGUGAGUAAGAAGGCCUUCGGGACGUAAAGCUCUGUUGCGGGGGAAAAAAGGCAGCAUCAGGAAAUGGGUGCUGACUGAUGGUGCCCCGCCAGAAAGUCACGGCUAACUACGUGCCAGCAGCCGCGGUAAUACGUAGGUGGCGAGCGUUAUCCGGAAUGAUUGGGCGUAAAGGGUGCGCAGGCGGUCCUGCAAGUCUGGAGUGAAACGCAUGAGCUCACCUCAUGCAUGGCUUUGGAAACUG
rnacentral:rRNA from 1 species